rnacentral:rRNA from 1 species
GAGUUUGAUCUUGGCUCAGAUUGAACGCUGGCGGCAGGCCUAACACAUGCAAGUCGAGCGGAUGACGGGAGCUUGCUCCUUGAUUCAGCGGCGGACGGGUGAGUAAUGCCUAGGAAUCUGCCUGGUAGUGGGGGACAACGUUUCGAAAGGAACGCUAAUACCGCAUACGUCCUACGGGAGAAAGCAGGGGACCUUCGGGCCUUGCGCUAUCAGAUGAGCCUAGGUCGGAUUAGCUAGUUGGUGAGGUAAAGGCUCACCAAGGCGACGAUCCGUAGCAGGUCUGAGAGGAUGAUCUGCCACACUGGAACUGAGACACGGUCCAGACUCCUACGGGAGGCAGCAGUGGGGAAUUUUGGACAAUGGGGGCAACCCUGAUCCAGCCAUGCCGCGUGAGUGAAGAAGGCCUCGGUU